ensembl:lncRNA
GAAACUCAACACAAAACAGAAUGUUGGCGUCUAGCUUUCUACCCAUUAAGGAAACACACGGUGGAAAAGACUGAGUUGACCCAAGGGCGCAGUGGCUGCCUCUCCCCUGGCAGUGUGGACCAUCUAGCCGUCUUGCUCCAGCAACUUACAGGUUCGAUGAAUGCUAAAGAGGCUUAUCAGCUGCUGAAUGUGGGCAUGCAUGAGGCUGCAGAGUUCCAGGCUAGUGCAAGAGUGAGUGACUUUAUCAUACUCCUUGUCUAGGCAGAGCAAGACUUCUGAGACCAGUCUCCUCUGUCCGAUAUUUCUUUAACCUAUUGAAAGUUCCUAGUCAAAAUAACCUUGGAAAAAGUGCCCAACGAAUAGGAGCUCAGCGACUGGCUUGCUGCCACCAUGGAAUGAAAGUGUACUGGGGCAAAUGGAGAUCUGGUCAGGAGGACACGUUGGUUUCAGCUUCGGUGCUGCCUCCUUGAGGCUGAUGCAAUUGUGUGUUUAAGGGUUCAACGUUGCGUCCAGAUGCAGCAAGAAAGAGGGCCAUAACCCAUCACUGUUUUCUGAGAAGGUACCUCACAUAAAUAGAGGACUUCCCUGGUGACUUAGUGGUUAACAAGUCUGCCUGCCAAUACAGAAAACUUGGCUUUGAUCCCUGGGUCGUGAAGAUCCCCUGGAGAAGGAAAUGGCAGCCGACUCCAGUAUUCUUGCCUGGAAAAUCUCAUGGACGGAGGAACCUGGUGGUCUACAGUCUAUGGAGUCGAAAAAGAGUCGGACACAAAUUAGUGACUAAGCAACGGCAACAACAACAUAUAAAUAGAAGCAUACAAUUUUUGUCUUUUUGUGUCUGAGUAACUUUGGCUUCUGUCCCGGAUAUUGUGAAUGUUAUGUUACGCAGACUCUGGAGUCUAUCAUAGUCUUCUAAAGAAUGUUAACAAUUUUGUUUUAGCUGCUAAUUAAGUUUAUUGGACUUAAACUUCAAACUCUGCCUCUUGUCAGCCACUCCAAUCUCCAUUCAGUCCUUUGAUCUUCAACUAGUUUGCUCGUAGCCUGACCUACUCAUGCAUCAUGGUUCAGGGCUCAGCCCGAGAUUUGGACAAAAGUUUUUACACAGAAUUUGCGGCUUUUUCC